rnacentral:rRNA from 1 species
GCAGGCUGCAACCCGCCUGCAUGAAGUCGGAAUUGCUAGUAAUCGCGGAUCAGCAUGCCGCGGUGAAUACGUUCCCGGGCCUUGUACACACCGCCCGUCACACCAUGGGAGCCGGUAAUACCCGAAGUCAGUAGUCCAACCACGUGAGGACGCUGCCGAAGGUAGGAUUGGCGACUGGGGUGAAGUCGUAACAAGGUACC